rnacentral:misc_RNA from 1 species
GGAAGUAAUCGUAACAAGGUUUCCGUAGGUGAACCUGCGGAAGGAUCAUUAUUGUAUAACCGAGGUGCGAGGGCUGUCGCUGACCCGAAAGGUCGUGCACGCCCGAGUGCCCUCACACACAUCCAUCUCACCCCUAUGUGCACCACCGCGUGGGUCCCCCUUUGGCUUGUUCGGAGGGGGGCUUACGUUUUCACACAAACUUUGUAUGCAGUGUAGAAUGCAUUUUUUGUUUUUGCGAUCACGCAAUCAAUUCAACUUUCAACAACGGAUCUCUUGGCUCUC